AAAAUUCCAGAAGCCAAAGCACAUCUAGCCACCGAAGCAGGGCCGCGGAGGGGGAGUUCGUGGAGAGGUUUAUGGGAGCUGUGGCCUCUACGUAGCUCCCGCCCCAUGUGGGGCGACAGCCAAGCCCCUGGUGGUGGGCCCGAGGCAGCUGUUGGGUAGCAGAGCCAACAGCAGGAAAUGUUAGCUGGGAGGGAGCAGAGGAGAGAGCCGGAUAAACCGGGAGCUGCAGGGCCUCUCAGGGCCCCUCUGUUUCUGUCCUUCACUGUAUCUGACGGGAAACCUGCCAGGGGCAGUGACUGCUGCUCGCCUUCCGCCCUACAAUUCUUGCACAAGGUUCUCUUUUGGCCAACUCUAACCCGGAAACACAGCAGGGAGGGGCUUCUAGGAAAUGGAGUUCCCAGCCUUAAUCGAGUUGCCAUAGCACAACUCAGCACCGCAUCUCCCAGCGUGAUCAAUGAAAUGACAUCACAGGCUCGGUAAAAGCCAUUUAAAAAUAACUCCUUCAUUCUACUGUUCCUCAGCUCAGAAGUCAGGUGCGUGCAUAGGUCGCCCUUCGUUAAGAUUCUCCACUUACGGAGGUGGUGGACCUGGCAGGGUGUUGUAGGAAGGAGUGGCAUGUGCUGAGAAGCUCACAGGAUCCUUAGUCCUGGCUGUGACUCACAGUUAACAAAGAGUGAAGAGGACACUAUCAUCAUCAUCAUCAACAUCAUCAUCAUCAUCAUUAUUAUUUGCCUGAAGGCCCAGAGUACACCGUAAUGGAGUACUGCUGAUGGGAAAGGAAUUAGCAUUGACCUCUCAGGAGGUUAAUUUGGGAGUUUAGCUCAUGAUCUAGUAAUUCUGCUUCUGGAAGUUUAUGAGAAGGAAGUGCUCUAAUAUGUGCGCCUGUGUGAUCGCUGGGCUUUAGCAUUUUAGGGGUGAGCCAACUGUAUCUCAGAGGUGGCCAUGUCUUGCAUUGAGGAGAGAGAGCACCUGCGAGAACUUCCAUGCUAUAUUCUAUUUGGGAAGAACUUGAACCUUGCAUAACGUAAACGAAGAGAAUUAACAAGAAUUUGUGGCACCCCUUCUGUGUCAGUUCUUCUUCCAGAUAAUAGGAAUAUAGCAAUAAACAAAACAGACCAGGUUCCUGCCCUCAUGGGGGAAAGAGGCAAUCUAAAAAUGAAAAAUGGGCCAGGCGCGGUGGCCCACGCCUGUAAUCCCAGCACUUUCGGAGGCCAAGGUGGACGGAUUACCCAAGGUCAGGAGUUCAAGACCAGCCUGGCCAACAUGGCGAAACCCCAUCUCUACUAAAAAUACAAAAAUUAGCUGGGCGUGGUGGCACGUGCCUGUAAGGCCAGCUACUCGGGAGGCUGAGGCAGGAGAAUUGCUUGAACCCAGGAGGUGGAGGUUGUAGUGAGCUGAGAUUGUGCCAUUGCACUCCAGCCUGGACGACAGAGCGAGACUUCAUCUCAAAAUAAAUAAAUAAAUAAAUAUAAAGAUGAAAAAUGUCACCAAAUGUCAGAUUAAGUACCAAGAGGGAAAAUAAAGCAGCGUCAAGGAUUAGAGAGUAAUAUGGGUGCUAUUUUUAGAUAAGGUGGUCAAGGGGGGGCCUCUUUGAGGAGGUGCCGUUGGGUCAGAGACAUGAAUGAACAAAGGCAGGAAACUAUGCUGAUAUUUGAAGGCAGAACAUUUCAGGAGCGGAGAAAGUAAUACACAGGCCGAAGAUGAGAAGGAAGUUUACGAACUUCGUUUCUGAGACAAGGUCUCACCCUAUCGUCCAGCCUGGAAUACAGUGGCAUGAUCAUAGCUCACUGUAACAUUGAACUCCUGGGCUCAAGCGACCCUCUCGUCUCAGCCUCCUGAGAAUGAACUUCUUUAUUCAGGGGACAGCAGGGAGACCAAUGUGGCUGGAGCAUGGUGAGCAAGCAGGGAGGGUGAUAGCAGCUGAGGUUGGAGAGAAAGCCAGGGGACAGAUCACACUGGCUUUUGAUUUGGGUCAAGUCAGGUGGGAAACCAUUGGAAAGUUUUGAAGUGGAACAUGACCUUUGCUGGCUUAAAUAUUGAAAGGCUAUCCAUGAGGAGUAAAUUACAGCUGGGCAAGAGUGGACACAGAGAGACCAAUUAAGACCUAUUGCAAGUGGUCCAUCCAGGAGGCUGUCAGGAGGCUGGACCAGGGCAGGGCAGCAGUGGAGAAGGUGAGAAGUGGUCAGAGGCAAUAACACUAUAAGAGCAAAGCUGAAGGGAUUUGCUACGAGGUCAAAUGUGAAUUGUAAUAGAAAGAUGAGAGUCAAGGAUGACUUCAAGGUUUUUGGCCUGAGCAAGUGGAAGAAUGGAGCCGUUAUUUACUAAGAAGGGGGAUGCUAGGCAGGAGCAGGUUUGGGAAUAAUGCAGAAUUUAAUUAUGGACAGAUUAAGAAUGAGAUACAGCCUGGGCAACAUGGCGAAACCCCAUCUCUACUAAAAAUACAAAAAGAUUAGCUGGGCAUGGUGGUGCGCACCUAUAAUCCCAGCUACUUGGGAAGCUGAGGCAGGAGCAUCGCUUGAGCCCGGGAGGUGGAGGUUGCAGUGAGCCGAGAGUGUGCCACUACACUCCAGCCUGGGCGACCGAGUGAGACCCUGUCU
rnacentral:lncRNA from 1 species